AAAAUUUGUUUGGACACUCGCUAUCUACAUAAAAAUUUCCCGUUUCUUUUUUUUUGGGUAUUUUUAGGGUCUGAAACUUUUUCCAAACUGACCCAAACCCAACUGGAUCUGACCCAAACCAGAACCGAAUAUUUAGAAUUAUUCUAUUAGGUAGUAAAUCAAUACCCAUUAAUCCCAAACCCGAACGGGUUCUACCCGAACUCGAAUGGGUUACUCAUAUGCCCAACUCUAUUCUGUGAUUUAAUUAUCUAAAAACUCCCAAAAACACAUAUAUUUUGCUGAUUACUUUUAAAAAAAAAAUUUACAUCCUCUUCUGCCAAAAUCAUCUUAUAAGACAUCACAAAACCUUUGCAAUAAUAAUUUCAUGAAUGAAUAAUCCUAAUUUGAAUAUACCAAGAGGUUUUGAAAGGUUUUAACUUUUUGAUAGGUGUGUAUGUGAGAAGGUACAGACAUCGUGAUAUUAAUCUGCUUAUUUAUAAUUUCAACUUGUAGUAUACCGUAGGUAGGCUUAUAUUUUACUUAAACUAAAAACUUUUAUUGUAAAGAUGAUUAUAAAUAUAUGAUAUUAUUUUAUUUGAUUUUAAAUGUACAGUAAACUGCGAGUUGUAUAUGUUUUGUUGAUAUUAUUUAUAUUGUUUAGUGUUUAAAAUUAUACACUUGUAUUUUGAUUAUUAAUUUUAGAGUUUCACCUGUAGUAUACCAUCUUGUAUUAAUAUCGAUUUAAACCCGUCAAUUCUAGGAUUUUCUAGCUUGUAUUAAAAAUUGAAUCACAUCAUACACAUAAAAAAAUCUAAUAUGUUUUUUUUUUAA
rnacentral:sRNA from 1 species